rnacentral:rRNA from 1 species
UACAGAGGGUGCGAGCGUUGUUCGGAAUUAUUGGGCGUAAAGGGCGCGUAGGCGGUGCGGUAAGUCACCUGUGAAAUCUCCUGGCUCAACUGGGAGCUUGCAGGCGAAACUGCCGUGCUGGAGUGUGGGAGAGGUGCGUGGAAUUCCCGGUGUAGCGGUGAAAUGCGUAGAUAUCAGGAGGAACACCGGUGGCGAAGGCGGUUCUCUGGGCAUGAUCUGACGCUGAGGAGCGAAAGUGUGGGGAGCGAACAGG